rnacentral:rRNA from 1 species
UGGGGAAUAUUGCACAAUGGGCGCAAGCCUGAUGCAGCCAUGCCGCGUGUAUGAAGAAGGCCUUCGGGUUGUAAAGUACUUUCAGCGGGGAGGAAGGGAGUAAAGUUAAUACCUUUGCUCAUUGACGUUACCCGCAGGAGAAGCACCGGCUAACUCCGUGCCAGCAGCCGCGGUAAUACGGAGGGUGCAAGCGUUAAUCGGAAUUACUGGGCGUAAAGCGCACGCAGGCGGUUUGUUAAGUCAGAUGUGAAAUCCCCGGGCUCAACCUGGGAACUGCAUCUGAUACUGGCAAGCUUGAGUCUCGUAGAGGGGGGUAGAAUUCCAGGUGUAGCGGUGAAAUGCGUAGAGAUCUGGAGGAAUACCGGUGGCGAAGGCGGCCCCCUGGACGAAGACUGACGCUCAGGUGCGAAAGCGUGGGGAGCAAACAGG